AUGGCAGAGAUCAGGAGCGGUAGCAUGGUGAACAAGAGAGACCUCGAAAGUGAUCAGCCCUGCAAGCUGUCGCACCAAUUUAUAAGACAUAUUACAAAGGAUUUCGACGAAACACUGGUAAUUGGAAGUGGUGCAUUCGGGACAGUUUACAAGGGUGUUUGUGAAAGCGGAGAAGAGAUGGCUGUGAAGAAACUACAUAACAUGUCAUUUGAUAGCAAGGAAUUUCAAAAGGAGUUUGAAAACCUUAGGAGGCUCAAGCAUCAAAAUGUCGUUCUGCUAAAGGGUUUCUGCAACGAAUCAGAGGAAGUAGUUGUUGAAUAUCAAAUGAGGCAAGUUCUUGCUGAAAAGAGGCAUACGGCACUCUGCUUCGAGUUUGUACGCAAUGGUAGCCUUUCCAAGCAUAUUUCUGAUGGAUACUCUGGACUUAAUUGGCAUACACAAUACAAAAUAAUUAAAGGCAUCUGUGAUGGGUUACAAUAUCUUCGACAUGGAUUGGAGUUUUCAGUAUGGCACUUGGAUUUAAAACCUGGUAAUAUAUUGCUAGAUGAAAAUAUGAUUCCCAAAAUUGCUGAUUUUGGUUUAUCAAGAAUCUUAGGUGAUGAGAACACAAAAAGGACAAUAAAUAAGAAUGGUACAUGGUAA
rnacentral:rRNA from 1 species